AGUGAACGCUGGCGGUAGGCCUAACACAUGCAAGUCGAACGGCAGCACAGUAAGAGCUUGCUCUUACGGGUGGCGAGUGGCGGACGGGUGCGGAAUACAUCGGAAUCUACUUUUUCGUGGGGGAUAACGUAGGGAAACUUACGCUAAUACCGCAUACGACCUACGGGUGAAAGCAGGGGAUCUUCGGACCUUGCGCGAUUGAAUGAGCCGAUGUCGGAUUAGCUAGUUGGCGGGGUAAAGGCCCACCAAGGCGACGAUCCGUAGCUGGUCUGAGAGGAUGAUCAGCCACACUGGAACUGAGACACGGUCCAGACCCCUACGGGAGGCAGCAGUGGGGAAUAUUGGACAAUGGGCGCAAGCCUGAUCCAGCCAUACCGCGUGGGUGAAGAAGGCCUUCGGGUUGUAAAGCCCUUUUGUUGGGAAAGAAAAGCAGCAGGUUAAUACCCCGCUGUUCUGACGGUACCCAAAGAAUAAGCACCGGCUAACUUCGUG
rnacentral:rRNA from 1 species